GGGCUGCUGUGAUGAAGGAAUUUGAGCGGACGUUUGCCGAGCUGUGCUGGCCCCGUGGGGUCCUGCUGCAAGGACCGAGGGCAGGAGCGAUGCCAGCAAUGAGUGUUUUCCAUCAAUAUUUCAUCAUAAGAAGUUGGUGCAGUGACUUAGUGGAGUCUCGCUUUGCUGGAGCAGAUUUUUUUGAAUAAAAACUGUCCGGUGUCCUCAGCCCACCAGUAUAACCAGUGUUGUCUCCAGAGCUGCGGCGUCGUGCCACGUGGUCGGCUGACAGCAACUGCAGCAACAAGCAAGAUUAAGCAAUGGGAAAACGGGACAGUUAGAAGGUAAGAGGAUAUUUGGAGCAUUUAUCCACUGUCUGCUCCUUGUGAAGCUCUCCCAAAGCUUGACUGUAGCUCUGACUGUCUCACUAUCUUUGAAGAUCUGAUCCAAGAAAUGACUCAGGGCCCACCGGUGUUGCCAAAUAACUUCAUUCCGUUGCUUGCUCCUGCUCUUCGCCGUCUGACUGUCCGCGCUAGAUGCUGGUUUGAAACGAGCCAGCUAGUUCCCUCCAGGAGGGACCUCUCCAGGGCUGCUGUCACAGAUGCAGUGCAUAUUCUCACCAUCACGCCGUCUCACAGCUCCGAUGAGCUGUGAAACGUCCCGGGCGUCGUCUCAGCUCUCUUGGACGGACGUUGUGCCGUAGGAUUGCCGCCCGGGUCCCGGCGGGUGUGCAGUGCGGAUGAGGCCAUCUCGUUCAAGAGGGAGCUGGUCCUGAGCCAUGCCCUCAAAUCCCGUGGGCCAAAGAGGGAAGAAAUUGUUCAAGGUUGGACUGAUGAGCGUGCAGCGGGGGCAGUUUGCUCUGACCAUGCGGCCCGUUACAGAGAGUUGCCUUAGUUGUGAGUAACACAUGGGUUUAGUAACAAUUUAAAAUUUACAGCAUAUUGUGAAGGUAACUUUGUAUGGGAAUACACAGCUAUAUUACUUUUUUUCUAGCUUUAUCAACAAGCAUAGCCUUUCUUAACAGCUUUUCUACCGUUUUGCCUUGUGAUUUAUUUUUGAAUGUGUUAUAAAUAGCCAAUGCCCUAGAUCGGGUCAGUUCCCUAGGGAAAUAAGUGCAUACGCCAUAUAUUAGAGGUUAAAUUCUUCCCUGCCUUAUGCUCACUGAGUAUGGCAUUAGGGGAGA